rnacentral:rRNA from 1 species
CGUGUAGGCGGCCGAUAAAGUCCGGAGUGAAAGUCCUGCUUUCAAGGUGGGAAUUGCUUUGGAAACUGGUUGGCUUGAGUGCGGAAGAGGUAAGUGGAAUUCCCAGUGUAGCGGUGAAAUGCGUAGAGAUUGGGAGGAACACCAGUGGCGAAGGCGACUUACUGGGCCGUAACUGACGCUGAGGCGCGAAAGCGUGGGGAGCGAACA